UACGGAGGAUCCAAGCGUUAUCCGGAUUUAUUGGGUUUAAAGGGUGCGUAGGCGGCCUGUUAAGUCAGGGGUGAAAGACGGUAGCUCAACUAUCGCAGUGCCCUUGAUACUGAUGGGCUUGAAUGGACUAGAGGUAGGCGGAAUGAGACAAGUAGCGGUGAAAUUCAUAGAUAUGUCUCAGAACACCGAUUGCGAAGGCAGCUUACUAUGGUCUUAUUGACGCUGAGGCACGAAAGCGUGGGGAUCAAACAGG
rnacentral:rRNA from 1 species